GAGUAACGCGUAAGAACCUGCCCUUGGGAGGGGAACAACAACUGGAAACGGUUGCUAAUACCCCGUAGGCUGAGGAGCAAAAGGAGAAAUCCGCCCAAGGAGGGGCUCGCGUCUGAUUAGCUAGUUGGUGAGGCAAUAGCUUACCAAGGCGAUGAUCAGUAGCUGGUCCGAGAGGAUGAUCAGCCACACUGGGACUGAGACACGGCCCAGACUCCUACGGGAGGCAGCAGUGGGGAAUUUUCCGCAAUGGGCGAAAGCCUGACGGAGCAAUGCCGCGUGGAGGUGGAAGGCCUACGGGUCGUCAACUUCUUUUCUCGGAGAAGAAACAAUGACGGUAUCUGAGGAAUAAGCAUCGGCUAACUCUGUGCCAGCAGCCGCGGUAAU
rnacentral:rRNA from 1 species